CACAUGCAAGUCGAGCGGAAACGAAGAGGUGCUUGCACCUCUGGCGUCGAGCGGCGGACGGGUGAGUAAUGCUUGGGAAUAUGCCUUAUGGUGGGGGACAACAGUUGGAAACGACUGCUAAUACCGCAUGAUGUCUACGGACCAAAGUGGGGGACCUUCGGGCCUCACGCCAUAAGAUUAGCCCAAGUGGGAUUAGCUAGUUGGUGAGGUAAUGGCUCACCAAGGCGACGAUCCCUAGCUGGUUUGAGAGGAUGAUCAGCCACACUGGGACUGAGACACGGCCCAGACUCCUACGGGAGGCAGCAGUGGGGAAUAUUGCACAAUGGGCGCAAGCCUGAUGCAGCCAUGCCGCGUGUGUGAAGAAGGCCUUCGGGUUGUAAAGCACUUUCAGUAAGGAGGAAAGGUUAAGUGUUAAUAGCACUUAGCUGUGACGUUACUUACAGAAGAAGCACCGGCUAACUCCGUGCCAGCAGCCGCGGUAAUACGGAGGGUGCGAGCGUUAAUCGGAAUUACUGGGCGUAAAGCGUACGCAGGCGGUUUGUUAAGCGAGAUGUGAAAGCCCCGGGCUCAACCUGGGAACUGCAUUUCGAACUGGGCAAACUAGAGUGUGAUAGAGGGUGGUAGAAUUUCAGGUGUAGCGGUGAAAUGCGUAAAGAUCUGAAGGAAUACCGAUGGCGAAGGCAGCCACCUGCGUCAACACUUGACCCUCAUGUACG
rnacentral:rRNA from 1 species